UCCUUUGUAUUUACAAUCAGCACCAUAAAAUUUAAACCAUCAGAAAUCAUUAUAACAAUUACUAAGACAACUUUCAUAUUAAAAAAAGAAGAAUGCUAAUAAAAAAAAAAAGUGGGACUUGAUUCCAGGGCCUUCACUUGAUUCUUAAUUUGGAGGAUUAAAAGCAUCCACACUACUAUACUGGGCAUUCUUCUUUUUCAUUCUCUUUGUCUAUACAGAAAAUCAGCACAAAUAAGUUAAAAACAGAGAAAUUACAAUCUUCUUGUCCAUAAUCACUAGUUUAAUUGUGAAGUGGGUGGUUUGAACUUGUCACCUUGAUUUCUGAUGUUCGAAUUCAGUUUUCUUGUGGCACUAUUUGUCAGAAAAUUGUUAAUAUCUCUUGCGUAUGGAGGCAUACUCUUGCUGCCAACUUCAAGGAACGGAAAAAUAUAUUCUCUUGGGGAGGGGAAUCAGUGGGCAACUUGGCCAUGCCUAUACUCUAGACAGGAAUACACUGAAGAUGAUAGAGAUUUUGAGUGCUGAUGGAUCUGCUUGGAAGCAGAUUGAAACGUCAAAAACAGAGGCAGUAUCAGGUGGCAACUCUAUCAAUUAUUUUCCUGACUAAACUUACAGAAUGCAAACAAUAUCCUAAUUUUUUCAAUCUGUUGGAUAGGCAAAGUCUGGAUCUGAUAGAUAUGCAAUUGUUCCUGAUGAUAAAGGUAAUAGUUAUUUAGAAUAGGAAAUAUGAACCAUGUUAAAUUUAUGUGACAGAGUAAAAAUAAAUUUUCCUACAUGAUGCUGUAAUUGUGUUUUCAGGUUUCAAAAGGCAAUGAUGCCAAUGUACCCAGGAACGAUGCCAACUGUAUCAGAAUCUAAGAGUGUCAUAUUCCUUCUUCAUCUUCUUAUACUAAUAUCAAAUCAAUAAUAUGAGUUUGUCAUAUUCCUUUAUCUCCUUAAACUGGUACCAAAUCAACAUAUAUAUUUGCUGUCCAACGCUAUUAUUACCUGAAUCCAGUUGCAUUGAAGAACUACACGAGUACAUGUUUGUGCUAUGAAUGAAUAAAAAUAGAUAAGUGUGUUGGUCUUUCUUAGGAAUGCUGCUUUAGGUGGAGGGAAAACAUUUUUGAAUUUUCAGAAAUUCUCUUGAGGAAUUAAGCAUUGAAUUUUGGACUGUUUUAUUCUUCUUUUCUUCUUUUUUUCCCAAACAAACUCAAUUCAAAUGCAUAUAUGUGUAAAUUAAAAGUCUAUGUUGGUUCUCAUUCAAUAAUAGAGUAGUUGUUUGACCAUCUGUGAUACACGGAAGAACAAAAUCAAACAAACUAUAGUUUUGUGUACUUAAAGGCAUCUUCAGCUACUGAUUCUAUAUAAAAGAAAAAAUCUGAAAUCUUUUCCAAAUGUCCCAUCAGGACAAGUGGAAGCAUAUCAUGAUCAAAUAGGACCAACUUGGGUGGGGCUAAAGAUAGUGAUGUUACGCAGUAAAAAAGAUAUACAUAAAUCUUAGGCACAUUCCUGAUGGUAUUUGGAUAAAGGGGAAAUAAGUAAGAGAAAAGCAAAUAAAAGGAACUAUAUGGAUAAAAAUGUAAAGUUACUAAACAAAACUUAAAAAAAGGAAAAGGGAAGACUGAGCUAGUCUUGCUUCCUUAGAAUGAGUUUUGAGUUUCAGAUGAAUCAUGUUAAUUCUUACCGCCAGAUUUGGGUGUGUUAUUGAGCCUACAAUAAUGAACUUAUUUAAAGUUUAAACUGUAAUCCCCUUCAUGCUUAGCAUUUAACAUUGGAUGCAACAAUUUAGUAACUUCCAAGAUCAUGUAAUUAGCAACAGCAUUAUUAUAGGACCAAUGGGAAAAACUCUUAUCCUAAACAAUCAAAUGCUUGAGGUAGGGAAAAGAAGUAAUUGUCAUAAUAGGACCUAUUGUUAAAACUAUAUAUAAUUUAACUAAUGACAAACAAAAUCAAAGGACAACAUUAUUUGCUUCCAUAUUAUAGAUCAUGAGUGUUAAAAAUCAUAAGAGGAGAGAAAAUUAAACUUACCCAUAGAGUGGGCCUGCUAGAAUUUUUAAGCAAAUAAAUUACAAAUUAGCUCUUAAAUGCAAAAACCGAAAUAUCACCUGCUAAACAAUCUGACAGAUUCAUUAGUGUAUAACUACUAUAUAUUUCUGUACAAACCAUUUACUUUCAGUUUUUAUUCUUUGCCGGUGAUUUUCAUUUAUGUAAUUCUUGUACCGAAAUGCAAUCAUCUUUCAGUAUAUCAUGAAUAAUAUAAAAAAAGAUCAAUGAAAACAUGUCUUAGCUCCUAAUGUUACGGCUAAUCAAUAUAUCAUGUCAUACAAAAGAGCAAGUUUUUUAAAGUAAGUCACAGGAAAAA